rnacentral:rRNA from 1 species
UACAGAGGUCUCAAGCGUUGUUCGGAUUCAUUGGGCGUAAAGCGCGCGUAGGCGGCCGCGCAAGUCGGAUGUGAAAACCCGGGGCUCAACCCCGGGCGUGCAUUCGAUACUGCGCGGCUCGAGACGGGUAGGGGAGAUCGGAUUCCUGGUGUAGCGGUGAAAUGCGCAGAUAUCAGGAGGAACACCGGUGGCGAAGGCGGAUCUCUGGGCCUGUUCUGACGCUGAGGCGCGAAAGCUAGGGGAGCGAACAGG